rnacentral:rRNA from 1 species
GUCGAACGCUUCUUUUUCCACCGGAGCUUGCUCCACCGGAAAAAGAAGAGUGGCGAACGGGUGAGUAACACGUGGGUAACCUGCCCAUCAGAAGGGGAUAACACUUGGAAACAGGUGCUAAUACCGUAUAACAAUCAAAACCGCAUGGUUUUGAUUUGAAAGGCGCUUUCGGGUGUCGCUGAUGGAUGGACCCGCGGUGCAUUAGCUAGUUGGUGAGGUAACGGCUCACCAAGGCCACGAUGCAUAGCCGACCUGAGAGGGUGAUCGGCCACAUUGGGACUGAGACACGGCCCAAACUCCUACGGGAGGCAGCAGUAGGGAAUCUUCGGCAAUGGACGAAAGUCUGACCGAGCAACGCCGCGUGAGUGAAGAAGGUUUUCGGAUCGUAAAACUCUGUUGUUAGAGAAGAACAAGGAUGAGAGUAACUGUUCAUCCCUUGACGGUAUCUAACCAGAAAGCCACGGCUAACUACGUGCCAGCAGCCGCGGUAAUACGUAGGUGGCAAGCGUUGUCCGGAUUUAUUGGGCGUAAAGCGAGCGCAGGCGGUUUCUUAAGUCUGAUGUGAAAGCCCCCGGCUCAACCGGGGAGGGUCAUUGGAAACUGGGAGACUUGAGUGCAGAAGAGGAGAGUGGAAUUCCAUGUGUAGCGGUGAAAUGCGUAGAUAUAUGGAGGAACACCAGUGGCGAAGGCGGCUCUCUGGUCUGUAACUGACGCUGAGGCUCGAAAGCGUGGGGAGCAAACAGGAUUAGAUACCCUGGUAGUCCACGCCGUAAACGAUGAGUGCUAAGUGUUG